ensembl:snoRNA
CCUGCCACUAGGGCUUUGCAAGUGUGGCUGCUGUGCCAUAUGUGUGUCAGUAGGUGGCAGAGAGGCAGGAAGCUAUGUCCGCACCCAGUGUUCUUUCUAACCUGUGAACAUCUGAAUGAUUAGUAGCCUAACGUU